GACGAACGCUGGCGGCGUGCUUAACACAUGCAAGUCGAACGGAAAGGCCCUGCUUUUGUGGGGUGCUCGAGUGGCGAACGGGUGAGUAACACGUGAGUAACCUGCCCCUCACUUUGGGAUAACUUCAGGAAACUGGGGCUAAUAGCGGAUAGGAGCUCCUGCUGCAUGGUGGGGGUUGGAAAGUUUCGGCGGGUGGGGAUGGACUCGCGGCUCAUCAGGUUGUUGGUGGGGUAGUGGCCUACCAAGGCUUUGACGGGUAGCCGGCCCGGGAGGGUGGACGGGCCCAAUGGGGCUGAGAUAACGGCCAGAAUCCCUAGGGGGGGAGGAGGGGGGGAAAUUGGCAAAAUGGGGGGAGGCCUGUGGCAGCAACCCCGCGUGCGGGAUGACGGCCUUCGGGUUGUAAACCGCUUUCACCGGUAACGAGGCGUGGGUGACGGAAAUGGAUAAAGAGGCACCGGCUAACUACGU
rnacentral:rRNA from 1 species